rnacentral:rRNA from 1 species
CAGUCGCCGCGGUAAUACGUAGGGUGCAAGCGUUAAUCGGAAUUACUGGGCGUAAAGCGUGCGCAGGCGGUUUGUUAAGACAGAUGUGAAAUCCCCGGGCUCAACCUGGGAACUGCAUUUGUGACUGGCAAGCUAGAGUGUGGCAGAGGGGGGUGGAAUUCCGCGUGUAGCAGUGAAAUGCGUAGAUAUGCGGGGGAACACCGAUGGCGAAGGCAGCCCCCUGGGCCAACACUGACGCUCAUGCACGAAAGCGUGGGGAGCAAACAGGAUUAGAGACCCCCGUAGUCCCUGUCUCUUAUAC